GAUGAACGCUGGCGGCGUGCCUAAUACAUGCAAGUCGAGCGAACGGACGAGAAGCUUGCUUCUCUGAUGUUAGCGGCGGACGGGUGAGUAACACGUGGAUAACCUACCUAUAAGACUGGGAUAACUUCGGGAAACCGGAGCUAAUACCGGAUGAUAUUUUGAACCGCAUGGUUCAAAAGUGAAAGACGGUCUUGCUGUCACUUAUAGAUGGAUCCGCGCUGCAUUAGCUAGUUGGUAAGGUAACGGCUUACCAAGGCAACGAUGCAUAGCCGACCUGAGAGGGUGAUCGACCACACUGGAACUGAGACACGGUCCAGACUACUACGGGAAGCAGCAGUAGGGAAUCUUCCGCAAUGGGCGAAAGCCUGACGGAGCAACGCCGCGUGAGUGAUGAAGGUCUUCGGAUCGUAAAACUCUGUUAUUAGGGAAGAACAUUUGUGUAAGUAACUGUGCACAUCUUGACGGUACCUAAUCAGAAAGCCACGGCUAACUACGUG
rnacentral:rRNA from 1 species